rnacentral:rRNA from 1 species
GUCGAACGAGAACGGGUUAUAGCUUGCUAUAAUUGUCAGCUAAGUGGCGCACGGGUGAGUAAUGUAUAGGUAAUAUGCCUUUUACUAAGGGAUAACAGAUGGAAACGUUUGCUAAUACCUUAUACUCCGUUUAUGUAUAAAUGUAAAUGGGAAAGAUUUAUCGGUAAGAGAUUGGCCUGUAUUGUAUCAGUUAGUUGGUGGGGUAAUGGCCUACCAAGACAAUGACGCAUAACUGGUUUGAGAGGAUGAUCAGUCACACUGGAACUGAGACACGGUCCAGACUCCUACGGGAGGCAGCAGUGGGGAAUAUUGCACAAUGGACGGAAGUCUGAUGCAGCAACGCCGCGUGGAGGAUGACACAUUUCGGUGCGUAAACUCCUUUUAUAUAAGAAGAUAAUGACGGUAAUAUAUGAAUAAGCACCGGCUAACUCCGUGCCAGCAGCCGCGGUAAUACGGGGGUGCAAGCGUUACUCGGAAUCACUGGGCGUAAAGAGCGUGUAGGCGGAUUGAUAAGUUUGAAGUGAAAUCCUAUAGCUUAACUAUAGAACUGCUUUGAAAACUGUUAAUCUAGAAUGUGGGAGAGGUAGAUGGAAUUUCUGGUGUAGGGGUAAAAUCCGUAGAGAUCAGAAGGAAUACCGAUUGCGAAGGCGAUCUACUAGAACACUAUUGACGCUGAGAUGCGAAAGCGUGGGGAGCAAACAGGAUUAGAUACCCUGGUAGUCCACGCCCUAAACGAUGUACACUAGUUGUUGUGAGACUAGAUCUUGCAGUAAUGCAGUUAACACAUUAAGUGUACCGCCU